GAUACGGCCCAGACUCCUACGGGAGGCAGCAGUGGGGAAUAUUGGGCAAUGGGGGAAACCCUGACCCAGCAACGCCGCGUGAAGGAAGAAGGCCUUCGGGUUGUAAACUUCUUUUACCAGGGACGAAGGACGUGACGGUACCUGGAGAAAAAGCAACGGCUAACUACGUGCCAGCAGCCGCGGUAAUACGUAGGUUGCAAGCGUUGUCCGGAUUUACUGGGUGUAAAGGGCGUGUAGGCGGAGAUGCAAGUUGGGAGUGAAAUCCAUGGGCUCAACCCAUGAACUGCUCUCAAAACUGUAUCCCUUGAGUAUCGGAGAGGCAAGCGGAAUUCCUAGUGUAGCGGUGAAAUGCGUAGAUAUUAGGAGGAACACCAGUGGCGAAGGCGGCUUGCUGGACGACAACUGACGCUGAGGCGCGAAAGCGUGGGGAGCAAACAGGAUUAGAUACCCUGGUAGUCCACGCUGUAAACGAUGAAUACUAGGUGUGGGGGGACUGACCCCUUCCGUGCCGCAGUUAACACAAUAAGUAUUCCACCUGGGGAGUACGACCGCAAGGUUGAAACUCAAAGGAAUUGACGGGGGCCCGCACAAGCAGUGGAUUAUGUGGUUUAAUUCGACGCAACGCGAAGAACCUUACCAGGACUUGACAUCCAACUAACGAAGUAGAGAUACAUUAGGUGCCCUUCGGGGAAAGUUGAGACAGGUGGUGCAUGGUUGUCGUCAGCUCGUGUCGUGAGAUGUUGGGUUAAGUCCCGCAACGAGCGCAACCCCUAUUGUUAGUUGCUACGAAAGAGCACUCUAGCGAGACUGCCGUUGACAAAACGGAGGAAGGUGGGGACGACGUCAAAUCAUCAUGCCCCUUAUGUCCUGGGCUACACACGUAAUACAAUGGCGGUCAACAGAGGGAUGCAAAACC
rnacentral:rRNA from 1 species